GAUGAACGCUGGCGGCGUGCCUAAUACAUGCAAGUCGAGCGAACGGACGAGAAGCUUGCUUUUCUGAUGUUAGCGGCGGACGGGUGAGUAACACGUGGAUAACCUACCUAUAAGACUGGGAUAACUUCGGGAAACCGGAGCUAAUACCGGAUAAUAUUUUGAACCGCAUGGUUCAUUAGUGAAAGACGGUCUUGCUGUCACUUAUAGAUGGAUCCGCGCUGCAUUAGCUAGUUGGUAAGGUAACGGCUUACCAAGGCAACGAUGCAUAGCCGACCUGAGAGGGUGAUCGGCCACACUGGAACUGAGACACGGUCCAGACUCCUACGGGAGGCAGCAGUAGGGAAUCUUCCGCAAUGGGCGAAAGCCUGACGGAGCAACGCCGCGUGAGCGAUGAAGGUCUUCGGAUCGUAAAACUCUGUUAUUAGGGAAGAACAUAUGUGUAAGUAACUGUGCACAUCUUGACGGUACCUAAUCAGAAAGCCACGGCUAACUACGUG
rnacentral:rRNA from 1 species